rnacentral:rRNA from 1 species
AGCCCUUGACAUCCUCAGAACAUUCUAGAGAUAGAUUGGUGCCUUCGGGAGCCGAGUGAC